CCUACGGGAGGCAGCAGUGGGGAAUAUUGGGCAAUGGGCGCAAGCCUGACCCAGCAACGCCGCGUGAAGGAAGAAGGCUUUCGGGUUGUAAACUUCUUUUAUCAGGGACGAAGCAAGUGACGGUACCGGAUGAAUAAGCCACGGCUAACUACGUGCCAGCAGCCGCGGUAAUACGUAGGAGGCAAGCGUUAUCCGGAUUUACUGGGUUUAAAGGGCGCGUAGGCGGGUGUGCAAGUCAGAUGUGAAAACUAUGGGCUCAACCCAUAGCCUGCAUUUGAAACUGUACGUCUUGAGUGCUGGAGAGGUAAUUGGAAUUCGUUGUGUAGCGGUGAAAUGCGUAGAUAUAAGGAGGAACACCAGUGGCGAAGGCGGAUUACUGGACAGUAACUGACGCUGAGGCGCGAAAGCGUGGGGAGCAAACAGGAUUAGAUACCCCAGUAGUC
rnacentral:rRNA from 1 species